UUCUCUUCUUCUUCCUUCUUCCUCUCUUCUCCUUCUCUCCCGCACGCACAACCCACCCUUUCUCCUUCCCUUUUUCUUUUUCCUUCCUCUCUUGUCUCUCUCGCACUCACACGCACACACAUGGACCCGAGAGAGAGAGAGAUGACCUGAAAUGCCACCGAGAACACAUUGGCUGGCUGAGGGAGAUUUUCUGCUGAAAUUACUAGGAUAGUGUCCGGAUUGGAGACUUCAAUGGGUUCUCCAAUGUAGAGUUCGAGUCAUGGGUCCAAUGCAGCCAAGAUGAUGUUCCUUUGGCUGCAGGUAUUCUGAUCAUAGUUGAUGGUGUUGUAGAAGUAUACUUGGGAUAUUAUGACUGAAGCUCGCCGCAAUGGUUGUAAUUGUCGGAACAUGGGUUGUCCACUAUUUUAUAGGUUUGUUAAUGGCUCAUGACACUUGUCUCACUUGUUAUUGUAUAAAGCCAUUUAUGUUAUGUAUUUAAUUUGAGGAAAG